GCCGCCGUGGCUCAGUUCGGUAGAGCGACAGUACGAGGCGCGAGCCUGUUACCUUUCGGUCAGGUGGCCGAGAGCCAGACAGUUGUAGUGCAUCACGGUUCGUGGCGCACGGCUAAUGGUCCCAGGUUCAAAGCGGGAUAUGAUUUCCAUGCCCCGGGCAAACCCUGGCGGCGGCGCCA
rnacentral:tRNA from 1 species